CUCAUUGGCUACCAAAAUGUGCGUCAUGGUUUCGUCACUCGGGUGGAUAAUAAGGGAAAAUUGAGGACAAAUAACAACGACAAAACAACAAAUAGCUGCAGCUGGGAUGGAGGGUUCCCAGUUGGUUCUCACCCAUGGGCUGACUGGGAGAUGUCUGCUCCAAGCAACACUGAAAGAUCAGCUGCAGAGUGGCAUCAACUGGAGUGGAAAUGAUCCAAAUGAUGGCAAAGUGCCGCUAAUUGCCUCUCAAGGUGGUCUUUGUUUUGUGUCACCUCUCUCGCCACAGCCGCUGCCUCUAUAGGACGAGCUCUCUAAAACCCCAGAAGGGCUGCAAUUACAUUAUCAGCCUUUAUGAAAUGAAUCAUCCAAACUAUUAAAAAAGAGAAAUGAAGCCAAACACUGAUGAGUCUGAAUCUCUCGGCUGGAGAUUAGUUUCUGUAUUCAUGUUCAAAAAAUACACGCUGAAUAAAUGAAAAAGGCCAUUAUGGGAGGGUGAUUGGGAGAUACCAACAUGUUCUCCUCCCAGGGUGUCACAUGCAGCUGGUGUUGCAGGGAUCUAACCCAGCCUGGCAGGUGUGUGUGAAUCCAACACCUCUACUAUGACCACUGCGACACAAACACCACAUUUGUGCAGAUUAUCUGGUACAGCUGAGCAAAUUCAGCUACCCGAGCUGAACAAUUGUUUGUGUUUUAGGGUUUUUAAAAAGUCUUAUGGUCUAAAAUUUGCUUAUUUUUUUUUAAAUAACUGUAGAUUAUUGAAUUGAAUUGCUGAUUUUGUUCUCACAGACAAAAUCUCUUACACCACCUGGCGAAGAAACUUGAUUUCACAAGAAACUCGACUGGAUCUGACUUCUGAUCGAGUGGAAAAAAGAAGACAAAACUGCUGCUGUAUUACUGCGGACCCGUAAUUAGCAGUUUGGGAUUUGCCAAAAAAAGAUUUGAGAUAAUGAGGCUAUCUGAAAAGGUGAAACUAACCCUGAAAAGUGGCUUGUCCUGAAGCGUGAGCAUCAGCUGUUUGGAAAGAGUUUGCAAAAUAAUUUCGUGCAGAGACUGAAUACAUUUAAAUUGAUCUCAAUUGCUUUGGACUUCCUAAACUUGAGGAACACCAACUAAGAUCUUUUACUUUCCUAGAGGAAAAGUUCAUUAUGGACGUAAAUCUGUGAGAUUGUUUUGCCAUUUUUGGGGCUAAUGAGUCAUUUUACAGUUCACUGUGACUUCAAGUUCACAUUUGGCAAGGACAAGAGAAACCUAAAUGUUGCACUCAUUCCUGAAUGUCAGUCGGAGCUACAGAACGAGAGUAUCCACGCACUCACUCACAAUCCUCUCACCGACCAGCACGAGAACAACCGCAGCAGCACAGGCUACACCCACCACUGUACUAUUACUAUGGUUUGUAUUGACAACAAGCAGAUCUGAGGCAUUUUGUGCAAAUCAAACACUUAUUGUCUUUUUUGCCUCCAGAUCCUCCACGAGACACAACACCACCCUCACACCCCCCCCUUCUCGUUAGCCCUUAUGUAAC